CCGCGGAGGCUGCUGGGAGCAAGACCUUUACCCUCUGACCCCCACCGUGACCCCCGUCGUUCCGGCUUCCCUUAGGCGGUGGCGGAAGCCCCGCAUCCUCCGCGGCCCCGGCGCGCACUUCGGGGACCCGCAGCGCGUCACCUCCGGAGAAGUGAGUGCCCCUCUGCCCAACCACCGCGAUUUUCUACUCGCCACCCUUCCUUUUUUUUUUUUUUUAAACUUGGUGGGAGGGAACAUAUUGGGGAGUAGGUUUUUAAAGCACUUUGGGGGGCACUCGCGCAGGCUGUUAGAUUUAUAGCAUUUUCUCUCGCCGCGAAUGACUAGCUGCGGUAUCAGCAGGGCUGUGGGACAUUAUGGUGGCUUUGGUGGAAACUUCAGGAGAAUGAAAAGUCUCUGCUUUCCAGAAAAAGAAUUGCCACUCAAGAGUGAAAUUAAAUUUGUUUUCUUUGAAGUAAUCAAUCUGUUCCCUUUUAUAUUGAUAAACUCUUCCCUUUUUGUUACUAGUGGACAUUUUGGGCUUAAAAAGACCCUCUAUGCGUGUGUUUUGGGGUUGUGAAAAUUGUUAUUUCUAUUUGAGUGAUGGAAUUUAUUAAUGUAAACUACGUGCAGUUGAUUCGGAGUAAAUAAAAUUUAUAAUUUUCUUGUU